UUUUGAAUCCUGAGUUUGCUCCUGCAUGAGAUAGAGACCAUGAAGGAUGUUGCUCCUAUGGUAGGCCGUAGGUCCCUGCAGCCUCUAGUCCCAAAAAGGGAAAACAGAAACAAAUUUUCCGGUACCAACUACUCAAUUACACCCUUGCUGUCAGGCGAGGUGUUCCAUGAAGUGGGUUGGUGUGUUUUGGACAUGUCACUGAGUGAUGCAUUUAAUCAAGAACACCUUGCAGUUGUGAGCCUUGUUUUUUUUUUCUUUUUUCCUUUCCCCCCCCUUUUUCAUUCUUCUCUUCUUUUUUUUCUUUUUCUGUUCCUCUUUCCUCUGUUCUCUCACCCCUCUUUUGCUUUUUCCUCUCUCUCUCUCCUGAAUAACUGAAUCUAUUGAGAAGUAAAUCCCCUCCUUCAAUUACUUUAAUAUGCUUUCAUACCGUGUUUGCUCCACUUUAUUUCUCAGCUUUGUUAUUUCCACUCCCCAGUAAAAUCUAUCACCUUUGAGUGAGUUAUUUGCUUUUCUGGACUGCAGCAAAUACCACCCACUCUGUUAAGGUCAGGCUCCAACUCCUUGACUUCUCUAUUGUUCCGUCCCUUCCUUACCCACUCUGUCAUUGCAGUACGACAGCUCCAGCUGGGAGGGCAGGGAAAUCACUCCCUCAAGAGCAGUUUAUCACAGCAAUAAAUGUUAUGUGUUUUACUAGGAUGCCAUCAAAGUUCACCCUCACACCACCAGGCUGAAGUAGAAACAAUUGUUUCUUUUAUUCAUCUAUUAUGUAUACUUUAUUGGGUAGGUGUCUAUAUCCUGCAGAGAUCAGUAUCCUGAAGGGACAAGGCACUACUUCGAGUUUCUGCAGUGUUGUGAAAAUUACAGAAUUUGCAGCGAGAAGCAUCAUAAUGUUUUAAAUUAAUUACUGCUUCUCAGUUUUCUUCCUGCUCUCCCUACUGCCUGGGUUUUAAUUACUUUGCUCACAUAGGCGUCUCCAAAGUCACUUCAUUAAACAGUACUUGUAGCCUUUACAUUUCUUUCAGGUUAUUUGCUUCUUUUUAUAGUACUGCCUGUGCCAGCUCUGUUAACUUCAAAGCAUAAUAAGCCUGAAAUCUUUGUGAUUGCAACUGGCACUCAGCAGAAUCUGGCCAGUCAUCUGAAUUGAUCUGUCAUUCAUGAAACUAAAUACUUUAAUUUUAAAUUUUUUUUUAGAUACAAGAGAGAAAAGUGAAACCUUUGUGUUUACAUUCCCUCCCCCAUCUUCCUACUAAGAAUUGAUAUUUCCUCAGUCAAGAGAGAUUAAUAAAAGCUGAGAAUACACUUUACUACAUUAAUUUCAUACGGCACAAUUCCUUGUAGCAAUAUGAAAACAAGUUGUUGAAUGUGCGACAGGGUAAUUCACUGAGCACUAAAGGAAAUUGCUAAAAACAAAAAGAAAUUUGUUAUACUCUAAGCUCUCAGUGACAUAUGAGAGCUCCAGUAUUCUGUUGGGAAAAAUGGUCAGCAGCCUUGCACUGACAUAUGUUAGGUAUCUCUAUUCUCUGAAAUGCAGGUUUGAAUUGACUGAAACUAUCUGAGGCUUUAGGUUAAAUUCCUAGCAAUGUUUUCAGUCAAGAAAUGAAGGAAACAUUUGAAGAGCCAGACUAUUUAAUUUCAACAUUUUUCUGCAGAAACUCCUUUCAUUUUUAAGUUUUUUUGUUUUAUAACUUUUUUCCUACAGAACACUGUGUGUCUAAAUCUGGCUCAAUCUAGUGAAGGGAAGAGAAAGCAACACCCAAGCCCAGGGUCUGGAGCAUCUCCUCCUCUUUGUCUCCCUCUUCUCAGGCAGAAAAGGAUGGCAGCUCCUCUCACUCUCACUGUUUGCCCUCUCCUGACAGUGGCUCUGCAGUUACCUACAAUGAUCAGUGCAGAGACAACACUAUGGCUGCCAGUGCUCAUGGAGACCUAUUUCACCACGAAACAGAGGCUCAAAGUCAAGCUAAAACAGAGCCAGCACCUCUUAAAACCACUGGGGACCUUUGUAAAGGCAGAUCAGGGAUUCAGUGAUAGCGCUCCAUCCUCCUGUCCCCGGUGUCAGGCUAGGUACCCUUGAGAAAACUGAGUACUCUGCUUAUAUACUGCUGGAAUCUUAAUUUGGGGACCACUGCAUGGUUUAUUUCAUGUUAUUUUAUACAGGAAUUCCAGCUGCAGACAAAUUGGAGAAAACUUUGCUUUGACUAAUGAACCUUAUCAUGUAUAUUGCGUCUGCAUGAAAGAAGAAAGGAAGAUGUAUCCCUGGGGGAUGGGACUCAGCUCCAAAGAGGAUGCCCCCUCUGGAAACUUCUGUCGACUAGAUCCAGGGUGAAGGGGAAACCACGCGAAGAUGACAGCAAUCAUUUUAAGAUCCACUUGUAGAGUACACAACGACUGGUCUGUCCCCAUAACCAUGGAAGAGGCAAAUCCUCUGACUGGUCCUGCUGAGGCUGGAAAAGAGUAAAACAAUGGGAGAGCCUUAGUCAUGAAAACCAUUUCUAUUAAUGUGCAGCAUCGUCUCCACAGAAGCCCUGAGGGACACGUUGAUGUGUUGGCAUGUUCCCAGCUGGUGGGUGUGAUUCACCUGACUCACCCCCUGAAGUGUAUCCACAUAACAUCCACAUAUUAUGGACAUAAAUUAACUUUCACCUGAAGAAUGGGAAUUCUUUGUUGUCAAAUGAAUGUGAGCUGUGAAGAACCUGCGAAGUGUACUAUAGCAGACCUGAAUGGCUGUCAGCUUUCCAGAGGGUUAUGCUGUUGGCUGGAAAUGUCUACUUGUUCAGUUCCUAGAGUUUUCCAGGCCUAAAGUCUCCUUGUCUGAAUUGUCAAACAUAUCAUUGUCGCCAGAGACAGCUGGCACAGGAAAUAAUGCCAUGUGAGAAUCAAAUGAUACAGCAUUUUUGCAAAACCUUUAGCAAAUCUGUAUUAAAGCCAGUCUUUUAUUUCUUAUUAAAUUAACAUCGUACUAUGCUGAAAUUUUAAUGCACUAGUUGAAGAGUUACAGCUAAAUGAUGUUAUGACUCAUUAUGGCAAUAUGCAGCAGCAUUGACCCAGACUUGUCUCCCAGUCCUCCAAAUCUUAUCCAUUCCACACUUGGUUUACCACAAAAAUGGCCUGCAUUGCUAUAAGCUUAAAACAAGAGGACACACUUUAACAUGGAUUCUGUGUUUCAAAUGUGCAAUAAUGGUUUAGUUAACAGGAAGCAGAUUCAAGCCUGCUCCAGACACACUGGCAAUUAGGCAUAUAUCAUCUCUCCCUUCUGCCAGAGCACAGAGUGAAAGGAAUAUCUUUUCUCUGGAGCGUGGAGAGAACUAAUUAUGAUCCUAGGGAGUAUUUAAAUGGAAAUACUAGAUUUUGAGUAAAUGAACUGUAAUAAUGAAAUUCAUUUCUGUGAUGCCCACUGCUGGGAAUCACUUCCUAACAGGAAAGUAUAAAGAAGUUUGAGUCCUCCUCUUGGGUGUGCAGAGCAGAAGGACAACAGGGAACAGACACAAACUGGAAAACAGGAAAUCCCAACUCAGUAUAAAGAGUUGUCAGACCCUGGAGCAGGCUGCACAAUCCCUGUCCUUGGAGAUAUUGAAAACCUGGUUGGACAAGGUGUUGACUACCUGCUCUAAAAACCUUCUUUGAGCAGGAGGAUGUUCUAGGUAAAUGCCUGAGGACCCUUCCAACCUGUGUGUUCUUCAAAUUGCAUCUGUGCAAGAGCAGUGUGUCCUGCAGCACUGGAGCAGUGGGAGGCUUGUUGCUGACACCAUUCAGUGAAAAAAGGGAGGAAGGGGAGGGUUUUUUUAAUUUUAAAAUAUUUUUAUUAAUGCGCUAAUUCUUCCUUCUGCCUCCUUUAGUGAGGUCCAAACUAGAUGUAAACAUAGAUUUUUAAUGUAUGUAGUCACAGAGACAAACAAACUAUGUCAAAUAUGGUUGGGAAGAAGAUCCAGCUAGAGCAAGAGACCAAUAAACUGCUGUGAAAGGACACAGGAACAUGGUGAGAAGGCAAGAAGUUGCAAGAAGUGCAAAUAGAAGAUACUGCCAUAGGUGGUAAAGACUCAGUGAUGCCUUUGCAUUUCCACAGUGUUUGCUACAGCACAGCACAAGAAACAAUGGCACAGUUGUGCGGUGCUUGCUGUUGACCACAGAACCACAGAGUAUCCUGAGUGGGAAGGGAUUCGCAAGGGUCAUGGAAUCCAUCUCCUGGCCCUGCACAAAACAGCCCCAGCAGUCACACCAUGUGCCCAAGAACAUUGCCCAAACACGUCUUGAACUCUGUCAGGUUGGUGCUGUGACCUCUUCCGGGGGCCUCUUCCAGUGCCCAACCACCCUCUGGGUGAGGAAACUUUUCCUGAUAUCCAUCCGAAACCUCCCCUGACACAACUUCAGGCCAUUCCCUCAGGUUCUGUCACCAGAGAGGAGAGUUCAGUGCCUGCCCCUCCUCUUCUCCCCACAAGGACACUGUAACUGCAAUGAGAUCUCUCUCCCCUCAGCCUCCUCAUCUCCAGACUGAACAGACCAAGUGACCUCAGCUGCUCCUCGUAUGGCUUCCCCUCGAGGCCCUUCAACUUUGGACAUUCAAAUGAUGCCAGCAGAUUGUCAGGAAAGUUUAGAUAGUGGACUAGACAAUGUGAUUCUUUAGAGCAAUAAGUAGUAUUUCAGUAAUUGCUUUCAGAGAGAGUUCUAAAAGAUGACUUGUGACUGCCCAUACAGAGUGUAUUUCUCAUGUUACUCUUAUUGGAAGGAGCCUCAGUUUGAGGCAUUGGUGUAGUACUUCUGUGGCUUGGCUGAUGACUGUCACUCAUUUCUUCAAUAGAUUUGGGUUAAUGUCAAGGGCUUGCUUCAAGCAAGCCUCCUUAAAACAAUGCUUCUGACAGCAACUGAACCACUUACAAAAAUGGGCAUUUUAAAAUUAUUAUAAUCCUAGUAAUGUAAAGAGAAGUGCUUUCUUCUUUUUUUUCUUCAGAUUCACAAGUGUAUAGAGAUGUCAUUUAUGUCCUAGACACAUUAAUUUCUGAUUUUUUCCUUUAACCCUCUUAAUUGGAAGAAAGUAUGUUGCUGCUGAUUUAUGAACUCUUCAGAAGUGCCAGGGAUCAUUUUAAAUGUACACAGCUGCUCUGCAGUAGUUUAACUUGGCAGAUAGUAUUAAACCAUUGAAUUGUGUCAUUUAUUUGUGUAUGCACACAAUAAGUUCCUUGUGCAGGUUCUUCAGAAAAAGUCUCAAUGCUGAUUCGAAAAUGUGGCCUAAAAAUAACCUAGCCCCAUGAUUUAUUGUUUUGGUGCUUGUCUCCAAACAGUACAUCUAAAAUGAAGAAUGAGAUACCGUGUGUACCCCAGAUAAGGCAAUGGAAUGGAAACCAUCCGUAAGAGGAGCUACGGACAGAGGUCUGAAAAGGAAAAGUUCCCAGGGUGAAUGAGCAAGAGACACGAUGGGAAUCAACUCCCGUUGUUGGCAUUUGGGAAUGCUGCAACUGAUUUCAUUGCUAGGCCAGGGAGUGUAUGACGCUGUGUAAUGAGAAAGAGCAGCGGUCGUGACAGCAGUAUCACUGGUUGUAAUGGAGUAUAAAUCAGGGCAGUUCACUCUGUCAUUCCAUUCAGGGCAUCAUAAAAGUAACACCUGUCAUCUGGAAAAAAUCUAAACUCAGAGAAUAAUAUAAUGCAUUUCGCAUGAAUGUAUAAAAUCCUGCAGUACCAGAAAAUAGAACACGUAGAAAUCGAGUCUUUAUACUAAGGGGUGACAUCUGCAAAUAUAUUCUACCAUCAAUACCAUGUGACUUGAUUUAUGUCUUAAACUAUUCUAUGGGGGGGAAAAAAAGUAGCAGUAUAGAUUCAACUAUAGCUCUAAAAAAUAACCUUUUAGGCCAUGAUACUAAUCUCUUUGAUCCACACCAUUUAAUGCAUUGGCAAGCAAAAGAACUUCCCUUAUUUCUCCUUUGGCUGUAAAAUGGACUGAAAACAGCCUUCAGGGAAUUGUAGAUUCAGUUACAUCCUCAGCAAGAGAACCUAAUGGGCAGUGUUUAAAGACUGAUUGAUAGACAUCAUCUCUUGAUGAUCAUAGCAGAACUUUUUAGGCUGUUGAUUGCAAGCACAGACAUUCAGGGAAGCAAAAUUUAUGCCUGCCAGGCUUUUUGCUGUGUUUUGUCUCCUCUUCUCUUUCCUGCACUCAAACCAGAUUUCAGCCGUCAGUCCUAGAAGUCAGUAACAAUGGCCAAAAAACCUGAGCCAAUGACUAUUAUCAGCCACACAAGUUUCAAAUAUUUUUCUCUGGUAAAUGGCCUAAAAGACAGAAAUUUAAAAUUAAGUAGAAGGCAAGUUUGUCCUAAAGCUCUAGAAAAUGGUGAAACUUUUGCACGUUGGAAGCUUUAGAAACUAUAGGAACUUUGAAGGGUGGAUGCAGAAUUAUUUAUUCAUGAUGAGUCAGUUCUGUCAUUCUCUACUGUCACAAAAUUUCCAUGUGCUCUGGGUAUGUACAAUUAUGGAAUAUUUCAGGUAAUGAAAUUUCUGUUGUCUUGUUAUGAAGAAGCAUAGAUGCAUUUUUAAAUCAAGGAUCAAUGCUAUCAAUGUCUGAUGAGAUUGAAAUAUCAGCCAGAUUUCCCUUUUUAUUCCUUGCCCUCUGAGACAGCAGCUUGGUGUUACCUGUGAAGCAGUUGUGGAACCACUCAGCUGCCUUAUCCAAGGUGUCAGUGUACAGGAGCUCAGACCCUGCAGAACUGGAGCACCCUGAGCCUUCUGCUCUCAAGAAACUGGGCUACUGUGCUACCACUAAGAGUGAUCAAGCAGAAAGUGCUGUUGGAGAUCUGAGUGAAGAACCUGAACACUGCUGGCUUCUUUUCUUACACAGCCCCAGGCCUCAGUGCAAAUAAAUUAAGGGCCAUAUGCUAACAUUGGAUCUCUCCACUGUGGCAACUGAGUUGCAUAUUUAUGAACACAACAUCUCUCCAGAACACUGGAGAGAUCACUCAGGCCAUCUAAUUCAUACAGGACUUCCUGGUUCCAUUCGUCAUUCCCACUGAUGAGGUACUAACCACAAAUCAGGUCUAUGGUGUUUUUCUGGCUGCUACUUCUCCAUUGCAGUGAGAGUUUGGGGAGCACACAUUGUGCUUUUGGAGAAGAGAAGAGGUUUUUUUCUUAAGGCAA